GGUGGUUCUCAGGUGACACACCCUGGAAUUGGGCUCCCUCCUCUCUGGCUCCAGCGUGCAUCACCCCGCA
rfam:Myotis lucifugus cont2.68030, whole genome shotgun sequence.